GCUUUUAUGGCGGGGAUAAAGUGAGGGACGUGUCCUUCAUUGCAGGUACCGCAUGAAUAAGGACCGGCUAAUUCCGUGCCAGCAGCCGCGGUAAUACGGAAGGUCCGGGCGUUAUCCGGAUUUAUUGGGUUUAAAGGGAGCGUAGGCCGUGGAUUAAGCGUGUUGUGAAAUGCAGGUGCUCAACGUCUGCACUGCAGCGCGAACUGGUCCACUUGAGUGUGCACAACGCAGGCGGAAUUCGUCGUGUAGCGGUGAAAUGCUUAGAUAUGACGAAGAACUCCGAUUGCGAAGGCAGCUUGCGGGAGCACAACUGACGCUGAAGCUCGAAAGUGCGGGUAUCGAACAGGAUUAGAUACCCUGGUAGUCCGCACGGUAAACGAUGGAUGCCCGUUGUCAGGCUGUUUCAGCCUGGUGACCAGCGAAAGCAUUAAGCAUUCCACCUGGGGAGUACGCCGGCAACGGUGAAACUCAAAGGAAUUGACGGGGGCCCGCACAAGCGGAGGAACAUGUGGUUUAAUUCGAUGAUACGCGAGAACCU
rnacentral:rRNA from 1 species